UACGUAGGGUGCAAGCGUUAAUCGGAAUUACUGGGCGUAAAGCGUGCGCAGGCGGUUUUGUAAGACUGUCGUGAAAUCCCCGGGCUUAACCUGGGAAUGGCGAUGGUGACUGCAAGGCUAGAGUUUGGCAGAGGGGGGUAGAAUUCCACGUGUAGCAGUGAAAUGCGUAGAUAUGUGGAGGAACACCGAUGGCGAAGGCAGCCCCCUGGGUCAAAACUGACGCUCAUGCACGAAAGCGUGGGGGGCAAACAGG
rnacentral:rRNA from 1 species